GAAACAAUUGAUCUUGAUGGAACAAUCUUGUUUUUAUAUAAAAUUUCAAGCUGGUGAUGACAUGUAUGAAAGGAAAAGUGCUGCAAGCAGUAAAUGCUGUUGAGUUUGCAUUCCAUUACAUCAGCAUAUCUAAAUGAUCCUCUUUAGCCCAGUAGUUCAAUAGGAUGUUGGAAAAGAAGACUUCCACUCUAAUGGAUGAAAAAAUGAUCAUCUGUUUACAUCAUUCUGAUUUCUUUUAAUUGCUUCACAGGCCACUAUAAAGAUUUGCUCUCACCCUAAUAUUUAAAAUUUUCUACUUUUUUUCCCACUUUUCUCUCACAUAAAUUAGGUGUUUCAUUCUUUUUCCUCCUUAUUAUUUUAUUUACAACAUUCUGUGUUGAGCACAGAAAGGGGAAGUGUAUAGCCCUGUUCUCUGUUUUUAAUGCUCUGUAUAUUUUUGCUUCCUUUCCUUUGGAAUCA
rnacentral:lncRNA from 1 species